rfam:Methylocaldum sp. 175 genome assembly, contig: JC06DRAFT_unitig_3_quiver.1
CCUGGUGGCCAUAGCGAGCGGGAACCACCCGAUCCCAUCCCGACCUCGGAAGUGAAACCGCUUAGCGCCGAUGAUAGUGUGGUUACCCAUGUGAAAGUAGGGAACCGCCAGGC